CCUACGGGAGGCAGCAGUAGGGAAUCUUGGGCAAUGGGCGAAAGCCUGACCCAGCGAUGCCGCGUAUGCGAAGAAGGCCUUAGGGUUGUAAAGCACUUUCAGUUGUGAAGAAAAGCUGCGAUUUAAUACAUCGUGGUCUUGACGUUAACAACAGAAGAAGUACCGGCUAACUCCGUGCCAGCAGCCGCGGUAAUACGGAGGGUACGAACGUUAAUCGGAAUUACUGGGCGUAAAGCGCGCGUAGGCGGUUUGAUAAGUGGGAUGUGAAAGCCCCGGGCUCAACCUGGGAACUGCAUUCCAAACUGUCAGACUANAGUGUGGUAGAGGGAGGUAGAAUUUCCUGUGUA
rnacentral:rRNA from 1 species